GUUCUGUAAGCCUGUGAAGGUGUGUCGUGAGGCAUGCUGGAGGUAUCAGAAGUGCGAAUGCUGACAUAAGUAACGAUAAAGCGGGUGAAAAGCCCGCUCGCCGGAAGACCAAGGGUUCCUGUCCAACGUUAAUCGGGGCAGGGUGAGUCGACCCCUAAGGCGAGGCCGAAAGGCGUAGUCGAUGGGAAACGGGUUAAUAUUCCCGUACUUGGUGUUACUGCGAAGGGGGGACGGAGAAGGCUAUGUUGGCCGGGCGACGGUUGUCCCGGUUUAAGCGUGUAGGUGUGUGUUCCAGGUAAAUCCGGUUCACUUUAACACUGAGGCGUGACGACGAGGCACUACGGUGCUGAAGCAACAAAUGCCCUGCUUCCAGGAAAAGCCUCUAAGCAUCAGGUAACAUCAAAUCGUACCCCAAACCGACACAGGUGGUCAGGUAGAGAAUACCAAGGCGCUUGAGAGAACUCGGGUGAAGGAACUAGGCAAAAUGGUGCCGUAACUUCGGGAGAAGGCACGCUGACACGUAGGUGAAGUGAUUUACUCAUGGAGCUGAAGUCAGUCGAAGAUACCAGCUGGCUGCAACUGUUUAUUAAAAACACAGCACUGUGCAAACACGAAAGUGGACGUAUACGGUGUGACGCCUGCCCGGUGCCGGAAGGUUAAUUGAUGGGGUCAGCGCAAGCGAAGCUCCUGAUCGAAGCCCCGGUAAACGGCGGCCGUAACUAUAACGGUCCUAAGGUAGCGAAAUUCCUUGUCGGGUAAGUUCCGACCUGCACGAAUGGCGUAAUGAUGGCCAGGCUGUCUCCACCCGAGACUCAGUGAAAUUGAACUCGCUGUGAAGAUGCAGUGUACCCGCGGCAAGACGGAAAGACCCCGUGAACCUUUACUAUAGCUUGACACUGAACAUUGAGCCUUGAUGUGUAG
rnacentral:rRNA from 1 species